GUCCAAACUCAUUUAGAUCCCAAAUUACUAGGAGCGCCUGACAGCUUCCCUGGUUUGUAGCCAGCUCGCUCCCGGCAGCUAAGCGAGCUGUCCACCCCAGUGCUCACAGGUACAAGGGCCACCCAAGCCAACCUACCCAACCCUUUAUUUGAAACAUCUAAGUGCCGACAGACACGCGGUUCCUGUUCUUAGAAUGAAUAGAACCCCUAUUCUUUGAGGGUGGGACUGUUUCCCCAGUCUCCAGCAAUUUUCCCUUAUUUUUAACAUUUCUAAAAUAACUUUCAAAAAGAGAAAGAGAGAAAGAAACCGUUGCUAUUCUAGAAAUAGAGUGUUGAAAGGUAGCUGUAGUCACACGGCAGGAAGGGAUGCAGUGCAACCAUUCUUCGCUCUCUCGGGUGCAAGAAGGAAUCAGAGUCAGUGGCACAUAUACGUAUUUUUAAAUGCGCUGAAUAGCUUAUCUGGCAUUCUGGGAAAGCAUUUAUUUUGGUUCUUGAAGGUACUUUAAAGCUGUUCAGAGUAGGUAGUCUUAAGUGGGUGAGUCACUUUAAUGCAUUUUACAUAACAAAAACAAAGCCCAAGGUAGCCUUCCCGGCUUUUAUGCUGCAGGGAAUCACUUGCUGUCCUUUGUUGGCAGUGAGCUGAAUCCUGGAGUUUUGGGGUACACUAGAAGUGCAUCCGUACUAGCUGGAACCCGACAGCUAUUAUUUAAGAUUUGGCCUAGAGCAUUUAUCACCUUAGUUGUCAGUGCAAGCAUCUAGAGAUGCAUAUUCCAGCCAGGAGAAAGGGGGUGUCUAAUAUUUAUGGCAUUGAUUUACAGUAAUGUUCUCUUUAGAUAAUCUUCCAUAAAAAUGAUUGCAUAUCCUUUCUGUUAUGAAGCAAAAGGGUAAAAGCCAUCUGUGGAGCUUCGUUUAAUUGGCAGAACGUUCCAACUGUUUAAUUUUAAACAUGAGAAAUCUAAGAAUUCCCUUUAAGAUGCUACAAAAUCACCCAGUCUUAUUAAGAAAUCGUACUUUCACUUAUUUAUAGUUUAGUGCUUUUGAAGCUCGGCCUAUUACAUAAGAACUCGGGUGCCUCUCAUGCAUUUUGAGUCAAAUAAGUUGUGGCACAUAAAUGUGUACACAUUUUUGGUGUUGUUUUAAAUUGAUUUGCCAAUAUUGCUACUAGUUGGGAAGGAUUCUUCCUUCCACAAAACACAAACAAACAGCACUUAGCAUGUCAUAGUAAAAUACUAAUAUAGAAAAUCCUUCUCAUAAGAACAUCUGCAAUAAAUGUUUUCCCAAAAUUAAGUAACUCAAUUUCCCUGGUCAGAUAUAUGCUAAGGACGUGAAGGAGAUCAAGUAAGCAUUUAAGAUAGGAAUUUGGAAACCGUGAUUCCUUUUCUUUGAAAGGAUUUGUGCUGUUUCAAACAAUAGGAGUAUGAAAGUAUUUUCAUAUUAUAUGAAACAUUAUUGUAUGGACUAAGAAUGGGCUUUGUAGCCCAAAGACAGUGUCUUUAUGGUAGUAUUAACAACGUUUUGGAAGCCUCCCUGCUUCUGCAAUUACUUAUUUGUAAAGUUAGUAAUUCUAUCUUUUGAGGAAGGGUAGUUGACAUUUGUACUUCAUGUUAGAUUUCAGAAUAAGAUCUGUGAAAAACUGUGGCAUCAAUCUCAUUUAAAAAAACAAUAACAACAGUGUUAUCUGCUUUGCUUGCAUGAGAAAAAUUAAAUGCACUAUUUAUCAAGACAAAGCUCAGAUUAUCUGGGGAAAAAAAUCAAGUUUAUAAGGAUGGAACCCAAAGACUAUAACAAUUAUUAAAGGCCAAUUAGGAUGCUUCUAUUUAUAAAUUUUUCAGAAAAUCAUUAGGAAAUUAUUUGGUUUUGUUGGCAGUUUUAUUUUUCAGCAAAAAUAAAAUAAAAUGAAAAGUUUUCAUCUUCAGAAGAGGAAGACCAUGUCAUUACCUCACUGAAACAUUAAUUAGUUGCUAAUUGGACUUAAACAUGAAUUGUAAUUAUAAUUAAGAGUCUUUUUCUUUAGUGGUGUUUAACAUGGAGGUCUUUAGUUUUGUUAUAAUAAAUAAGCAUAUUACUCUAAAUGCUAGGUUUUCUGUCCUCUGUUUUAAAGAACAUUCUAAUACAGUAUAUUCUUCUGCAGCAAAAUAAUAAAUCCAUCCCAACAAUUAACAUUCAAACAACGGGGACAAAGGAAUUUUAACCAUUUUUAUUUUUAUGCGCUAUAUAUAUCUUUUGGGUAUACUUUUGAAAGUAACGUGUGAAAGAAAUACAUGAUGUGCUAGCAAGCAAGUGCCUAUUGGCACAUGCUGUAAUAGAAAAUUCACCAUCCUCACAUUAUAGUAUACAUAUAUUACAGUGGUGUUUCAAAAUAUAAUUCUCAAAAAGGGCAGCUUUCUUUCUGAAAAUAAUUCUUUGGCACUUAUGUUAAAACAUAUCUACUAAAAUUCAGGAACACAUGGGUGCUGAUCAAUAUAGUAAUGUUAAUUUCAAAUCUGUCCUUAGUUUUAGAACCGGCUUAUAGAUCCACUUUUAAAGCAUUAAACUUUAUCUCAGCCAUAUCAAAGUGCUACCCAGUGAGCAACGACUGGAUGAAAGCCAGUUACUGUAUGUGACUUGAUUAUAUGAUCUAAAUAUAUAACUAAGAAUUUUAGUUACUUUUAAUAAAUAAAGUGUUGCAAAAAUCAGUAGUUUUUGAGUACUGAAUACUUAAAGAUACAUAUUUUUCUGUUGUUAUGUAGAAAUAUGGCUAUGUCUGGAUGCCAUGAUGCUGAAAUGGGUAUUUAGUUGUCCCAUGCAUUAAGAGUAAGUGGUGUAGUUAUGCUUAUGUGAACUUUCUAUUUAUAUUGUACAUGGCAUGAGGAAAUGUGUCAUAUUAGAGAAUACAAAAUAAGAUAGUAUAUAUAGAUUUCAAAAUGAAUGGCCCUUAAACACCCUUUUCUUGAUUUCUAUCUUAUAUUCACAAGCCCUAACAUCACGAGAGCAUUGAUUACUCUACAGGUGUGUGGUUAGAAUAUGAAACAAUAGGUGUAGUUCUCUGUAUAACUAGGAGCAUAUUUAAUUUGCUAUUGCUUUAUGUAGGCAUAUAAGUCACUAUCUGCCUUGGCAUUUCAGCGAGCAUUAGAAGAACUGAACUAAAAUACAAAAACCAUUGUAGAAAAAUAUAUACAGGAAUAUAAGCUUAUGGGUUAUAAAUGGAUGUAAACAAGGAUGUAUUUUUCCUUUUUUCCAAUGGAUUUUUAUUAAUAUUACUUUAAUAAACACAUGGAACACUAGCAGGUAGUUCAGUUUUGAAACAGGUAAAAAUCUCAUCACACUUCAUAGAAACCCAGGUGUACCUUUCUAUUGUUUCUCUGAUACUGAAAUAUAACAAUAUAGUAUACUUUUGUUUUUUCCAUUAAGAUGCAAGCAAAUAGAGUAUUGUCUUUAAAUUCAUUAUUUAUUUUUAGAGCUUAAAUUCAUGACAAACUAUGUAGAAUUUUGAAAAUAUUAAAUGUCUGUGCUCCCAGCUUCCUGUCAUUUAAAUCAUACGCUCUCCAUAGCACUAUUACAUUAAAUACUUUCCCAUUGCCCCUUUUCUUUUCCAUAUUUUUCAAUACAAGUAUGAAUUCCUUGCCUCCUCGUAUUUAUCUUCGGUGAAGUUUUAACUUUAAGCUAGAGAUUUAAGUGGGUGAGAUGAAAUAUUUUUUGUGUGUCAUUAUGCAAUUUUAAAUCUCCUUUAGUGUCUUUUAGGUAUAGACCUAGAAAGUUCUCACAUAAGCAGAUGUAGAAUGCUUUACAGAAAUCAGAAUUUGUUUUAGCUUAUAACAGGUAAUAUUUUAUUGUUAAAAGGUAGCAGCGUUCGUUCCAUCAGCUAUGUUAAAAGAGCUGUCUGAGGUCCUGUGUCAGAGGAUAUAAGCUGCUUCCUGUGGACCAUGGACUGCUCUGCUGUUUCCAGUCUGUAUGUCCGUAGAGUCCACUGUGUGCUGCUGUGUCUGUGAGUGAGGCAACCCAACCUUUUUUCAUGACUGCCUAUAACGUUCUCAGUCUCUCAUGAAGUUGCUUUCCUGGACACUUGCACUGGGCAGUGGUAGCCAACCAUGGGGCCUGGGCAUGAUUUACCUUGGCUUUUACAUGCACUAGACAUGAAAAUGGGAGCUUCAUGCUCAUUAUAGAGUUGAAAAAAAUGUCAAUUGAUAAAACAAUUUAUGCUGAAAGGUAGGAAAGACCACAUUUACCCCCUCUUAAAAUCAUCUAAAGAUUUGGUACAUAAUUAGAUUAUUUUUCUAGUGUGUACAGUUACAGUGUUCUUUACUUAUUGAAUGAUAGUUUGUAUGUUAAAAUACAUAUGCAGGAAUAUAUUCACAUAUGUAUGCAUACAUAUAUAAAUAUAUAUGCAGGAAUACAUAUUAAUAUAUGUGUGCAUACAUAUAUACUGGAUGAUUUGCUAGAUUU
rnacentral:lncRNA from 1 species